rnacentral:lncRNA from 1 species
ACAGGUUAACAGUAAAACCUACCUAUAAAUCAUUCUACAUUAUAAUUUCUGAAUUUUUUUCUUCCUGCAUAGUUAGACAAAUAUUUUAAAAUGCAUUUAAAUGACAUAUACAGUAUCCAGAGGAUAAUCCCCUUGGCUAGAUUUUAACAAUUGUAUUACUUGCUUUGGGAACUUCUCAUACACAGCAGUAAACUUUUUAACUGAGUGAAGUAUGAUAGCUUAGUAUCACUCAGGAUGUAUCAGCAGAAAAUCUGAGCAUCAGAAAUGUAAAUGCCAAAAAUGUUUAAAAUUGUACUGAUUACAUUUCACUUGGAAAAGCACCUCAUUUUACAUUUUAUUAGAAGCAGGAGAAACUAAAUCCAUAUCUCUUUUAUUUAUUCAAUUUAGAGUUCCUCACAUUCAAAAUGUUACUUAUUUGCCUCUUGGAAUGACAUGUUUGUUAGCAGUAUGGAAAACUCUAAGAGUAUAACAUAAGAAUUUAAGGUCUUUCAUAGCUUAAAUUUAUUCUGUGGAACACUUCUGCUUAUGCAUGCAGAUGGGCUAAUGGUGCUGUGACUGUCAUUAACCCAGCGUCACUUGCGAAAUGCUAUGCUGAGAGAUUAUUUUCUGUGAUUAUAGUCUUGGGCUUUCAGUUACAUGGCCUGUUUUUGAGCAUAAUAUCAUUUUCUUUUUGUCUCUUAGCAAAACACGAAGAUUUUGCUAAAAUGAAUUAACUCUGUGGUUGAUUGCCUCCCAACUCCAGAUUCUCUCCACUGCAGCUCCUGUCUUUUCCAAAGCUCAGUGCAUUGCUCCAGGUCGUGCCCCAGUAAGUCACUGACAUAUCUUUAAAUGAGCUUGCCUCCAUCAGUUCACUGGGUGGCACAUCUCUGUUUGUCAUCGGUUCUUUUCACACAAGCAGCCUAGCAAAUCUGAAUUCAAAUCAGCCCUUUGGUGUGCUGAUGAACUCGCUAUUCUGCAAUCCUUUGUUUGUUUGUAUUUUAAUCCUUCCAUUUCAGGGCUGGGAUUUUUUUCAAGUAUGUAGGUGGCAUUGGUAAAAUCAGCUAGCAUCUAAAUCAAUUUAUUUUAUUUUACUAUCUUAUUAUUUUGUUUCCGACAUUUUUUAGGGCCACACCCUCGGCAUAUGGAGGUUCCCAGGCUAAGAAUCUAAUGGGAGCUAGCUGCUAGCCUACACCACAGCCACAGCAAUGCCAGAUCUGAGCAGUGUCUGCGACCUACACUGCAGCCUAUGGCAAAGAUCCUUAACCCACUGAACGAGGCCAGGGAUCAAACCCGCAAAUGUUUCCUAGUCAGAUUCAUUUCUGCUGCACCAUGUCGGGAACUCCCUAAAUCAAAUUUUAGACAUAAUGUUUUAUAUUUCACUGGAAUUUGUUUCUAGGCUCUUUAAAGCUUAGCUUCAUCUGGAACUAUAUCCUUAUUUAUCUUUAUAAUAUUUAUAUAUAUCUAUAGGCAUAAUUGCUUCAAUUGAAACUUUCUUUUAUUCCUUUGUCUGAGUUCUGACAGAAUCAUUGCUGCUAGUCACCAGGUGUGAAAGUUGGGAGCCAUAUCUACUUCCUUUUUCACCUUUAACUAACCAUUCCCACCCUGACACUCAGUAAGUCUUGUUUUUACUUCUUGCCUCCCUGCAGUUACUCUUUCCUUUGCAUCACUGCCUUUCACCCCUCCCAUGUUCCACUUAGUAAAAGCUGAAAUUCUUAUUUGACAUACAUGGAGGAAAAGAGAGCAUUGUAAAGUGGCAAGCUUGGGAAAUUCAUGACAAGGGCAUAUUUCCUAAGAAAAUAAUCUGAGGUGAACAAGAUAUUUUGUGUAUAAAUAAUAUUGUGUACAUUGAACAUUGAUUUUAAGUGCAGUCUUCCUUCAGAUGGCUAUUCUUUGUAUCACCUCUGCCAAUGAAGCCAUGUAUAGUCAGGGUACACAUGAUAGAAAUUCUGCUUUGGAGAAUCUUCACAGAAAAUUAUGAUUUUUGGAUUUUCUCCAAUUCCUUCCAUAUCAACAUUUGUCUUCAUUUCAGCGAAUGUUGUCUCAUGGAUUUUCUAAUUCCAUAAAUGCUGUUGCUAUGGCUGUGGUGUAGGCUGGCAGCUGUGGCUCUGAUUGGACCCCCUAGCCCGGGAACCUCCAUAUGCAUUAUUUUUUAGAAUGGCAAAUGCUUUCCUGAAAUUUUUUUCUGGGUAUGGUAGUGGAAUAUUUUCAGAGGUUUACUUUUCAUUAAGUCUUUGAGAUGACUUUAUGGCCCCUUUUCUUUUCUUUUCUUUUCUUUUUUUUAUUGUUCAUCAACCAGGAGGGCUUCUCCCUUCCAUCCUCCCUGUCUUCCUAACUUACUCUUUCUUUCUUCCUUUCUCCUUCCUUCCUACUUUCUUUCUUUCUCUCCUAUUCUUUUUUUUUUUUCUCUUUUCUGCUUUACUCAAUCUCAAGUGAAAUGACCUCCCAUAAGAUUCAGUUUAGGUUAAAAGGUAAAGGGUUGGAAUAUACCUGCCUUGGCUUUCUGUUAUCUUGGUCAUGGGUAUAGGUCCCUCCAGCACCACAGAUAGAAUUAAGGUUGAUUUGUUCAGCUGUCAGUCUAAUAUUUAGAUUUCUAGAAAAUAUUCUCCUCUUUUGAAAUGUGAUUGUUUUUCUAUCUUUAUUACUCUAAAGAGACAGUAAAACAAAAAAUAAACAAAACCCUUUCGUUCUCCAAACUCGGUAUCCUCGGGGUUGCAUUUUCUUGAAAAUAUCCCACUUUACUUUUUGGAAUCAUUUAUCCCAGGAAGCAGUGUCAUACUGGAAACAGCCUUUCCCCAUCAUUCCUCCUCCCCAUUCCCCACCCCUGCACUCGCACCUGGAUUUUUCCGAGUCUGCUGACUUUACGGCUAGCUAUUUCAGAAUUAAUGUAGAAAUUUAGAAGCAGAUGAAAAAGAACUCUCUGCCUCAAAAAAAUUAAGAAGGUGACUGUCCAUUUUUUUUCUAAGUGGUACAAAUUCUGGAUCUAAGACAGAUCUCACAGAGGUGAGACUGUGUCAUAGUAUUAAACCUUGUAUUACCAGCGAAAAGCUAUUGAUUACUAAACCAGUGAUAUUUUUUUAUAUAACAAGUAAAUAUUCUCCCAAUUUUCUGUAAUAAGUUGCCUUUGAGUCUUGUGUUUAAGGUUUCACAUUUUCUGUGUCAUUUAAAAUAUAUUAGAAAUCUGAAAGAAGUAACCCAGAUAACAUUUAAACUGAGAAAGCUUAUGAUCUCAGUUUGGCUCACUUGUUUAUAGAUACAUUCCCAGAAUUUCAUUGCAGUCUUCCUUUUCAAACCUCAGUUUGAGCUCUGUCCUAAAUACAGUACGGAAACAAAUCUGACUAGCAUCCAUGAGGACGCAGGUUCAAUCCCUAGCCUAGCUCAGUGGGUUAAGGAUCUGGUACUGCUGUGAGCUGUGGUGAGGUCACAGACUGGUUGGAUCCCACAUUGCUAUGGCCAUGGUGUAGGCUGGCAGCUGUAGCUCUGAUUGGACCCCCUAGCCUGGGAACCUC